GUGCAGGCCGUUCAGCGAGGCUCAGCCUGCUGUGGCUCCGUCCUUUCCUGAAGUGUCUGCUAGAGAGACAUGAGGCAGUUUGAGGCCCUGCUGCGACCCUCAGCGGCAGGGUUAUAGGUUCGCCUCUGACACGU
rnacentral:snoRNA from 1 species